AACUGGAAGAAUGGGUUGAUGCGGACCCUUAGCUCCCGGACCACGGGAACCAAACGAAACAAUAGAGCCAUAAAGAAGAAAAAUGACAGGAAGGGCUAGAGGAGCCCUGGAAAGGGACCGGAGAGGGAUGCAGAAAAUAGAGCUGGAAGAAGCGCCCGGAGAAGGGGGCGUGGAGUGACUGCCUCGGACCUCCACGGUCACCCACCGCCUGCUUCCAGGCGCCACAGCCACGGGGACAGCUCCCUCCCUCCGCCCGCCUGCCCUGCCGCUCCCGCGUCCCGCACCGUGUUGUAGAACUCGGCGAUGGCAGGCACGAUGGUGUAGUUGUCCUCGCACCAAUCCACCUCCGAGCUGCCAGCCCGCAGCUGGUCCCACCAGUGCGGGGCGCCCAUGGCCGCUCUGGAGCAUCGGAGCAGCUUCUCCGCAGCGGCAAGCGGCCCGAGCGGCUGCUGGGCACACUGUGCGUCUGCGGCUUUAUGCGGUGCCGGGCAGCCUCCGGAUACGGCACCUCCCCUCCGGCCUCCCAAGCCGGGCUGCGCCCGCCCGCCACCGCCGGGCCAGACGUGCCCCAGCCCCGCCCCCGGGAGUCCCGGAGCACGACGGCCACGCCCACCCGGGGCGGGACCUGACAGACCAGGUUCGGAAGGGUAGGGCCGGGACCUGGGUGGAAGCCUGGAAGCUAGGACCGUAGCCACUAGCUCUCCGGUUCUACUGUGGUUGGUGGCAAAGGCCUUCAGAGUCGCUCUUGUCCGCGCGCGUCCAGGUUGCGUAAAGAACGCCAGAGCAGCCGUACCCCUUGUAAAAAAAAAAAUGUAAAAUAUGGUAAACCGCACGGAGACCCGGACCCCUUUGGACUUCAUAGGAGUUCGCAGCAAUUUGCUUCUCUGCGCCUGGGACACCAGUACUCAUCAUGCUUAAGGAAGGUUCUCAUUCCUCCUGAAGGCAGGACAGCUUUACCAGACCCAACUCACUGCUGGCUAGGGUAAAAAGAUCCUCAGGGCUGUGGCAACAGGUUCUCUGGACCCGCCAAGCAUCCUGGGUCACCCACACCAGGAGAGUGUUUCUGUAGUACUGAGUGUUUAGUGGUUUAUGGGUAAUCCACAGAAGAUGCAGUGUAACAGCGCCAGUUCUACUGGCUGACCCCUGAAACCCAAGGAGAACCUGGACAGUGACCUCCUUCUAGGGUCAGUCAGUUACAGACUAGCAGGGGUGAGCAGGCCAGAGCCACAAAAGAAAACUGCACUGCAAUGCCCCCCUCACUGUUGUAUGUCGAACACCAACCAUCCAGCAAGAGAACCGCUUUCUCAUGUGAUCACAUUUUUCUCCUCCCAGUAGCUUAGGCAAAAAUAAACUGGAUGUUAGAAGCA